rnacentral:rRNA from 1 species
CCUACGGGUGACAGCAGUGAGGAAUAUUGGUCAAUGGCCGUAAGGCUGAACCAGCCAAGUAGCGUGAGGGAAGACUGCCCUAUGGGUUGUAAACCUCUUUUAUGCGGGGAUAAAGGUGUCCACGUGUGGAUGUUUGCAGGUACCGCAUGAAUAAGGACCGGCUAAUUCCGGGCCCGCAGCCGCGGUAAUACGGAAGGUUCGGGCGUUAUCCGGAUUUAUUGGGGUUAAAGGGAGCGUUGGCCGGUCUUUAAGCGUGCCGGGAAAUUUUGUGGGUGAACCCUGACAGUGCGGCGCGAACUGGAGUCCUUGAGUGCGCGGAAGGCAGGCGGAAUGCGUGGUGUAGCGGUGAAAUGCUUAGAUAUCACGAAGAACCCCGAUUGCGAAGGCAGCCUGCCGCAGCGUUACUGACGCUGAAGCUCGAAAGCGCGGGUAUCGAACAGGAUUAGAUACCCUAGUAGUC